rnacentral:tRNA from 1 species
GGGCCGUUGGCGCAGUCUGGUAGCGCACCUGCAUGACGCGCAGGUGGUCGGGGGUUCAAGUCCCUCACGGCCCA